rnacentral:rRNA from 1 species
CUUGCGAAAAUAUAAGAGGUCCAGCCUGCCCAGUGACCCAGUUCAACGGCCGCGGUAUCCUAACCGUGCGAAGGUAGCGUAAUCACUUGUUCUUUAAAUGGGGACUAGUAUGAAUGGCAUCACGAGGGUUGAACUGUCUCCUUUCUCUAAUCAGUGAAACUAAUCUCCCCGUGAAGAAGCGGGAAUCAUUUUAUAAGACGAGAAGACCCUAUGGAGCUUAAAACAAAUUGACACAUGCUUCCACCUACUUCAAUUCCUGAAUAAAUAUACAAAAUAUAGCAUCAUUGAUUAAUAGUUUUAGAUUGGGGUGAUCAUGGAGCAAAAAAUAACCUCCACGACGAAAAGGAAUAUUCCCUGAGCCAAAAGCCACAACUUUAAGCACUAAAAAAUUAACGCAUCUUGACCCAAUUUUUUGAGCAACGAAC